rnacentral:rRNA from 1 species
AGAGUUUGAUCCUGGCUCAGGACGAACGCUGGCGGCGUGCCUAACACAUGCAAGUCGAGCGAACCCCCUGGAUUCUAGAUUCGCUCUUGAAUCCAGUCAGGGUUAGCGGCGGACGGGUGAGUAACACGUGGAUAACCUACCCUAGAGACCGGGAUAACAGGCCGAAAGGCCUGCUAAUACCGGAUAAACUUCACAGUGCGCAUGUACAGUGAAGCAAAAGGGUUAAACCGCUCUGGGAUGGGUCCGCGUCCCAUUAGCUAGUAGGUGAGGUAACGGCUCACCUAGGCGACGAUGGGUAGCCGACCUUAGCGGGUGAUCGGCCACACUGGGACUGAGACACGGCCCAGACUCCUACGGGAGGCAGCAGUGGGGAAUCUUGCGCAAUGGGCGAAAGCCUGACGCAGCGACGCCGCGUGAGCGACGAAGGCCUUCGGGUCGUAAAGCUCUGUCGAGGGGGAAGAAUUCAGACGGUACCCCUCAAGCAAGCCCCGGCUAACUACGUGCCAGCAGCCGCGGUAACACGUAGGGGGCGAGCGUUGUCCGGAAUUACUGGGCGUAAAGGGCGCGCAGGCGGCCCUGCAAGUCAGAUGUGAAAUUCCGGGGCUCAACUCCGGACUUGCAUUUGAAACUG